ACCUAUUUCCCAUGGCUCAAAAUAAAAAUCAGUUGACACUAUUAACAGAAGUCAAAGAUGCCUGGCUACACUCACUUGGCACCAUUAUUUUUAUCUUCAGUGAGGGAAUAAAAGAAUUCACUAUGCAUUGCCUCAGGGAUCAUCUAUGUCAUCUGGUCUUGAAUUACGUCCUGUUCCUCCAUGAAAAUUAAAAACUGAGAGGUAAAGUGAUGUUUCUGAGAAUAGCAAGGAGGACACAGCAGAAUACCAAGGAUGACCAGACACAACUAGUAGAAGGAAGAAUGCAAUGCUUUCUUAUGGUCCAUCCUGUCAGGAACACAUGGGAAGAGACCUCAGGCAGCAGGAAGAAGAAGCUUAGAAGAUUUUAUCCACAUGUAGGAACCAAAGAGUGCAAACUGACUCUAGGGCAAGAUUGUGCGGUUUAUCUUAGUUAGGGUUUCUAUUCCCGUGAGAAGACACCAUGACCACGGCAACUCUUACAAAGGAAAACAUUUAAUUGAGGUGGCGGCUUACAAUUACACAGGUUCAGUCCAUGAUCAUCAUGGUGGGGAGCAUGGCACCAUGCAGGAAGAUGAGGUGCUGGCUACAUCUCAAUCAGAAGGCAACCGGAAGUGGACUGUGACACCAACAGAAGCUUAAGCAAAAGAGACUUCAAAGUCUGCCCCACAGUGACAUACUUCCUUCAGCAAGGCCACAUCUAUUUUCAACAAGGCCGCAUCUCCCAACAGUAUCACUCCCUAUGCUCUUAUGGGGGCUAAUUACAUUCAAACUACCACAUUCUACUCACUGGC